UACAGAGGUCCCGAGCGUUGUUCGGAUUCACUGGGCGUAAAGGGUGCGUAGGUGGUGAGGUAAGUCGGAUGUGAAAUCUCCAAGCUCAACUUGGAAAUGGCAUUGGAAACUACCUUGCUGGAGGUUUGGAGGGGGGACUGGAAUUCUCGGUGUAGCAGUGAAAUGCGUAGAUAUCGAGAGGAACACCUGCGGCGAAGGCGGGUUGCUGGGCUGACACUGACGCUGAUGCGCGAAAGCUAGGGGAGCGAACGGG
rnacentral:rRNA from 1 species